rnacentral:rRNA from 1 species
AUUGAACGCUGGCGGCAUGCCUUUCACAUGCAAGUCGAACGGCAGCACGGGUGCUUGCACCUGGUGGCGAGUGGCGAACGGGUGAGUAAUACAUCGGAACAUGUCCUGUAGUGGGGGAUAGCCCGGCGAAAGCCGGAUAAAUACCGCAUACGAUCUACGGAUGAAAGCGGGGGACCUUCGGGCCUCGCGCUAUAGGGUUGGCCGAUGGCUGAUUAGCUAGUUGGUGGGGUAAAGGCCUACCAAGGCGACGAUCAGUAGCUGGUCUGAGAGGACGACCAGCCACACUGGGACUGAGACACGGCCCAGACUCCUACGGGAGGCAGCAGUGGGGAAUUUUGGACAAUGGGCGAAAGCCUGAUCCAGCAAUGCCGCGUGUGUGAAGAAGGCCUUCGGGUUGUAAAGCACUUUUGUCCGGAAAGAAAUCCUUGGCCCUAAUACGGUCGGGGGAUGACGGUACCGGAAGAAUAAGCACCGGCUAACUACGUG